UAUAAAGGUAAAAUAAAUCUAUAUUUAUUAACAAGUAUCCAUUUGUUAUUAUGAUUGGCUCAAGCAUUUUAUUUUAUUUUUCAUGCAAAUUGGCACAGCAUUUUCUGUUUGAGUCAGCAUGAAUUAGUUAAGCUUAACUCUAAUGAUUUUGACCUGGUUUCUUGGGAACAGAUGCUAUUUUACUUCGUGUAGUAUCUUUGGAGCUAGCUACCAGGAUGGGAAUGAUCUUUUUGAAACCAAAGUUCACGCACCAUUGAAAUUUCUUCAGGUUACAGGCCAGUUGUGGUCUAUCACAACUUUGAAACUUUUGUAGAGGAAGAAGACAAAGAGGCAUUAGGAAAAGAUACAGCAAGACAGUUGCCAAGGAGGAAAAUCAAAUACCCAGACAUGAUGGGAAAUCACUGCAGAAUACAGAAGACAAACAAAACAACAACAAAAACUCCACAAUAUCAAUAAAUCCAGUGACAAUAUUUUUAGACAUUUACACUGAAAAAGAACAGAACAGUCAUUGUACAGUUUCACCAGAUAAAGAAUGAGCAUAAAAGUGGCAUGCAAUAAAAUAAUUUAGUAUCUUCCUAGCUGCUGGCCUACAGUGAGGCUUGCAGAUGGGAAGGUGCACUCUGAGGAAGGCAUUGAUGGUACCAGCAUCAAGUGCAGAUCAACAGAGAUUCACUUCCUCUGCCAAUUCUCUAUUCUUGUGUAAAAAGAGAAAACAUACAUGAAUGGGUGCAACAUCUGUUGAACUGUUUUUAAUGUGCCAAAGUAGAAUGGGAUUUUCAGUUUAAGAAACAGGGUUUAAAAAAGAAGUAAGGAGAAAAAUGUGGUGCAAAAUUAGGAAAGAAAAUAUUUAUGUAAAGAAAUCUUCAUGAGAAAUAAUAUGAAUAUCCCACUGAAGAUAGGUUGACAGGCAGCUUGAUGGGAUAGCUGAUUGAGACAGAGAAGAGAUUCUGGAUUUAAAAAAUACAGUGACAAUUAAAUGCAACAGAAAUUUGGUUCAGUUGGGCUUUAGGGAAAACAUAAUUUUUUUGUCACACACAUUUCUGCUGCUUGCUGAUUUAUGGGGAGAGAGUGGCAUUGAAGAAAAGGAGGGUAUCAGCCAAACUGUCUGAGGUGAGGAAGAUCUCAUAUAAUGUUGCAGUCACAGAAAGGUGUCAGGCAGCUGACCAAGGGUGGUGACUUCCCAUUCCCAAAAGUCAAGGAGGAUUUAACAUCAAGCACGAAGGCUCACUACAGAGAAAUAAGAGCAAAGAACAUCAAUGAUUUGAUGAAACCAUGUGGCAUUUUAUAGAAAUGGAUAAAGAGGAAAUUGGCUAACAAAGAUGAAUGUGCAGCAAAGAAACCAAAGUGAAAAUAUUGAAAUGUGAGGAUAAUGUAAAUGGAGUUAUAGAAGAAAUAGCUGAUGUGAAAAUGUUGAUAAGGCCAUCGUUGGAAACACUAGAUAUACAGCUGGAGCAAAGCAAGAGGUGAACUUACCAACAUAAUAGGGAAAGUGGCCAUGAUUAAAGGAUAAAUAUGUUCCAGAAGAAUUGACACUGGCAAUAACAACUUCACAUUAAAGCCACACUUAGAGAUGCUUCAUGACAUGGAAAGCACAAAGCAUAAAAUUUUGGAAGCUGAUUCAAAGUUGGAAAGGAAUAUGACAAUUUGCCAAGGCAUAACAAAGAUGCUUGAUUCAUACGAAGAAUUAUAAAUGAGAGGAAGGCAAGCACUGUUUUGAACUAUUCUCGUAUGGAGAUGUUGCUGGACAAUGGCUGCCCCUUCAAGGACUAUUAUUUCCCAGCCUCUCCCCCUUGCAUCCAGGUAGACCCUGUUACCGAUGCAUGUCUACGUUACCUCUAGGAGACAGGUGGCUGACCCAUGCAUUGUACUGUAUGUCCACGGGCUUUCCAGGUUAAUUCUGCAUACGGGACAUAAUAAAAAG